rnacentral:rRNA from 1 species
GGGGAAUAUUGCACAAUGGGCGAAAGCCUGAUGCAGCAACGCCGCGUGAGUGAUGAAGGUCUUCGGAUUGUAAAGCUCUGUCUUUUGGGACGAUAAUGACGGUACCAAAGGAGGAAGCCACGGCUAACUACGUGCCAGCAGCCGCGGUAAUACGUAGGUGGCGAGCGUUGUCCGGAUUUACUGGGCGUAAAGGGUGCGUAGGCGGAUGUUUAAGUGAGAUGUGAAAUACCCGGGCUUAACUUGGGUGUUGCAUUUCAAACUGGAUAUCUAGAGUGCAGGAGAGGAGAAUGGAAUUCCUAGUGUAGCGGUGAAAUGCGUAGAGAUUAGGAAGAACACCAGUGGCGAAGGCGAUUCUCUGGACUGUAACUGACGCUGAGGCACGAAAGCGUGGGUAGCAAACAGGAUUAGAUACCCUGGUAGUCCACGCCGUAAACGAUGAGUACUAGGUGUAGGAGGUAUCGACCCCUUCUGUGCCGCAGUAAAACACAUUAAGUACUCCGCCUGGGAAGUACGAUCGCAAGAUUAAAAC